UCUAAAGGGUGGAGGGAGAAAACGCGGCAAAUGCCAAUGUUGCUGAAGGGAAAGCAUGUUGGGGGCGCUGUCCCAGAUGCCCUGCUGCAGAACUAGUCAACCUAGAAAUGUAAAGACCAGAAUGUGAUCGCAGAGAAAUUCCUUGCCGAUUUAAACAAGAAGGCUUCAGGACUCGGGGAGAUUUGAAUGCCUCCCAUGUGCCCAGUUUGAAAACAAGUAUUAUGAAAAAAAAUUAGAGAGGAACGUGUUCUUGUCCACAGAAACGUUCGUUCCAGGAGUCAGGAAACUGUCUGGAAGACACGUGCGGUAAGAGAAGAAACAAGUCUGCAUCGAGAAACACAUUCUGAGAAGUCGCCAGCAGGUGGUGCAAUGAAACAAGACUUGAUCUUGGAGCCUGAAAAGCAAACCAAGACAAAAACAUGAAAAGCAGCCAACACGCCACCUAGUCAUUGGAAAACAUUUUUGUGAAUUUCCUGCUAUCUACAAUCUUCCUCCAAUAUCUUCCAUCAUACAAAAGAAUCUGGUACAUACGGAUUCCCUGGGGAACUGUCAGACUUCAUUCUCCAAAUGCAUUGAACAAAGAAAAACAUAGAUGCUCGA